rnacentral:lncRNA from 1 species
GUGCGGAAAAUAAAUAAAGUAAAGCGAGUGCGGAAAAUAAAUAAAAUAAAAGCGUAGACAGAAAGUAAAUAAAAUAAAAGCGUAAAUAAGAACCUGCUCCUAACGGAGGGCUUUAGAUCUGGUACAAGAAAAAUAAACCUUCGACUCCUGAAGCUAAAUACGACAGCAACUCGAAGUGACCCAACUCAAUCUCACUAAGGUGCG